CCCCCCACCCCCGGCGCGAGCGAGCGAUCGCAACAAAACAAAACAAAUUCGUGCCGGCUUCCUGUUGUGCAACCUCUUUCUGAAUGGGGUGUUGGAGGGAGGGUGGACUUUGGAAUCGGGAAAACCUGGAAAUCUCAACUCCACUACUUCCUCCGAAGAUUAGAGGUUGUACCCUGGCCCAUUGAGGACUUCAGUCCUGCUCUCUGAGGCUUUGUAAAGGGCAGGGCUCCUGGGAGCUUGUGAUUUGAUCAGUGAACAUGGAGGCUAGAUAUCAGAACUGCUUAGAAGUUUUUCAGGUCUCCAGCAGAAGGUGUGGCCCAGAUUAAAGGUGUAUGCCGCCACACCUGGAUCUGGGACUUGCUUUGUCCCAGAUGACCUUGAACUCAGAGAUCUCCUUGCCUUAGUCUCCUGGGAUUCAUAGCCACUAUGCCUCAAGAUCUCCAGGCCAAGAUCCAGGUCAGAAACUUGUAUCUCCCAACCUCAAGAUCUGGAUCACAGAUAUGAAGAGCCUUCUGUUGGAAGCUACCAAGUGGCACUGUAAGAAGAAGCACCAUCUUAUCCCGGUUGUUUAUAUUAGUUCUCUACGGGUUCUGUCACAAAGGAUGGUAGACUGCUGACUUCAGACAACGGGAUUCAUUUUCUUACAGUUCAAGAGGCUGAUUUACUCCAAGGAUUUCUCAUGCCCUUUGGAGUCCUAUCCUGUCCCUAAUUAGUCUAGAAGAAACUCUGACAUCCCACCUUUGUCUAAAUAUCUUAAAACAGAACUCUCACAAGGGAAGACAUUUCCCAAAUCAGUAUCAUAGAAUAGACAUGCCUUGCUAGACGUCCUCUGUUACCCUUGAGACCUGACUCUCAGCAUCCGUUAUUGAUUUCAACUUCUCUGUGGAACAAUUCCUCCAAUGGUUUAGUUGAGUACAAGGCUACCCAGCUAAAGACAGGAUAUAGUAAUAUAUAAUAUAAUAUAAUAUGAUAUAAUAUACAUUCAUAUAUAAUAAAAAUUAUUCCUGUUUGCCUGAUAGCUGAAUAUGAUCUUUUUAGGAAAUGUAUUGAAGCAUAUGCUAGACACUAGACACUGUAUUCUGAACCUUAUUCACAGCAGUGUCAGUAUCUGUGAAAUGGACAUCUCUUUAUUAUUGUUGGGGUUAGCAGAAGGCUCCUGGGUCAUAUCAGUAAUUUUGUUUUCUUGCUAAUGUUUACAGUUUCAUGUGUCCUCAGUUGUGUGACUUUUCCUGGGAACACAGGAACAAACAUCCAUCAACUUACUCUAAAAUAUGGCACCAAGAAUAGAUC
rnacentral:lncRNA from 1 species